UAAGUACUCCCUCCGUCCGGAAAUACUUGUCAUCAAAAUGGAUAAAAGGGGAUGUAUCUAGACGUAUUUUAGUUCUAGAUACAUCUUUUUUAUCCAUUUUGAUGACAAGUAUUUUCGGAUGGAGGGAGUAGUUU
rnacentral:pre_miRNA from 1 species